GAAGUUGGAGUUUAACAAGAUGUUCAAUGAUGGUAUGACUAGUGAUUCGGUGCUUGUUGAUGAUGUUGUCAUUGUGACUUUCAGGGACGUGUUUUAUGGGUUGAAGUCAUUCGUUAAAGUUGGUGGAGGGACUGUAACUAUGGCAAGAGCUAUAGCUCAUGUUUUUCCUUGUGAUUUAAGUACACUAUUCUUGAUCUGCCUCAUGAGAUUAAUACUGUGAAGGAAGCCAUUAGUCUUGUUGAGUAUGUUGGUGGUGUUAGGUUUGUCUCUAUUCCUCUUGCUAACACCACUCUCUUGUUGGAUAACUUCUAAUACCCCAACAUAUAGCAUGUCAAAGCUAUUCUCACAGACCCCAAGAAGUUGCUUUAGUGUCGACUGGAGUCUUAGAAGUUGAAGGAUUCUCUUUUAGAUCAAAAGUGAUAGAUCGGCGUGGAUCUUGAGAGAUUGUCUGUAGUUGUUGUCUUAUCCUAUUGUAAAUGUUAAGUUCUUGUUAUUGUGUAUCCCUGUAUUUUGUAUUUUGGACUUCUAUAUCCAAGUAUUGUGUACUUUGUAGAGUUUGUAAUCUUGUAACUCAGUUGGGUUAUUAUAGUUUUGCCA